AAUCUUCACAGAAGUGAUGAUGAUGACGAUGAGCAUGAUGAUGAUGACGGCCUUGAUGGUGAUGCUGCCAAUCUUUUCUGCAUAGCCCUGUGAGAGAUCAGACUGUCGUCUAAGGGAUUUCUAAGCUGAAGUUACAGAGCUGGGCUUUCGGGAGUCUACAAUUCCAGAUAUUAUAGAUGCCGUGAAAGCAGCAUACAAGCCGGAGAGCCUACUGGAAGCAAGAAGGGAAAACCCAGCCGGGUAUGGGGGCUGCGGGGAGGAUGCCAGGUGGCGGAGACUGGAUUCAGGAUUUGAUGCUUGAACUGAACCUUCUAU